ACUCGAGUGUCGAACGGGUGAGUAACACGUGGGUGAUCUGCCCUGCACUUCGGGAUAAGCCUGGGAAACUGGGUCUAAUACCGGAUAGGAGCCAUUUUUAGUGUGAUGGUUGGAAAGUUUUUCGGUGUAGGAUGAGCUCGCGGCCUAUCAGCUUGUUGGUGGGGUAAUGGCCUACCAAGGCGGCGACGGGUAGCCGGCCUGAGAGGGUGGACGGCCACAUUGGGACUGAGAUACGGCCCAG
rnacentral:rRNA from 1 species